rnacentral:rRNA from 1 species
UACGGAGGGUGCAAGCGUUAUCCGGAUUCACUGGGUUUAAAGGGUGCGUAGGCGGACAGGUAAGUCAGUGGCGAAAUCUCCGAGCUUAACUCGGAAACUGCCUUUGAUACUCUCUGUCUUGAAUAUGGUGGAGGUAAGCGGAAUAUGUCAUGUAGCGGUGAAAUGCUUAGAGAUGACAUAGAACACCUAUUGCGAAGGCAGCUUACUACGCCUAUAUUGACGCUGAGGCACGAAAGCGUGGGGAUCAAACAGG